rnacentral:other from 1 species
UUUUUCCUGCGGUGCUUCGUGAUAGGGUUGCUAAUUGAACCCACAGUUGAUUAAUGGAGUGAACACUCCGCGUAGGAAUGCAGGCCUCCCGACCGUCUCUCUUUUGACAGGCGAAUCGGAUGUUGGAAGCACAAAGCACGGACGACGCACACCACCUUGCAUGAGCAGGGUUUCACAUUGUGACUUUACACGGCACUGCGGGAGCAUU